GCCGCGUGAGUGAUGAAGGUUUUCGGAUCGUAAAGCUCUGUUGUUAGGGAAGAACAAGUGCGAGAGUAACUGCUCGCACCUUGACGGUACCUAACCAGAAAGCCACGGCUAACUACGUGCCAGCAGCCGCGGUAAUACGUAGGUGGCAAGCGUUGUCCGGAAUUAUUGGGCGUAAAGGGCUCGCAGGCGGUUUCUUAAGUCUGAUGUGAAAGCCCCCGGCUCAACCGGGGAGGGUCAUUGGAAACUGGGAAACUUGAGUGCAGAAGAGGAGAGUGGAAUUCCACGUGUAGCGGUGAAAUGCGUAGAGAUGUGGAGGAACACCAGUGGCGAAGGCGACUCUCUGGUCUGUAACUGACGCUGAGGAGCGAAAGCGUGGGGAGCGAACAGGAUUAG
rnacentral:rRNA from 1 species